rnacentral:lncRNA from 1 species
GCAAGCAAUUAUACCACAAAUAGCACAAUUACUCUCUAUUACUUGAGAAAUUUCAAAUGGCUAAAUCUCAAAUUUUUUCUCUGCUUCUUUUCUGCGUCCUCCUCCUUGCAUCAAAUGGUCAGUAAAAAUUCAUACAGCAGAUAUUAAUUUGCUUGAGAUUAAAGUGUACCUAGUUAUUGUAAUUUGUUGCUUUAUAAAUUAUAUCAAAUAUACCGCGACAAAAUAUAUAAUCCUGUCUUCUUAGCAACAAAAAAGACCUAAUUGAGACAUAUGUAGAAUGAUUACUAAUAUAACUUAAUUAUUACUCUUAAUGAUGGAGCGGCACAUUUCAAGGGUCUUGCUUAGGUAGGGAGGAGGAGUGUGAAGAUAAGUGCAUCAACUUGGAACAUUCUCUUCGUGGAGAAUGUAAUUAUGAUGAUUAUUAUUUGGGUUGCUUUUGCUUCUGCUAUGUUUGUUGAAUAAAGUAAUUGUAUGUAUACUUUGGAAACAGCCUCUCUGCCCUUUCGGAUAGGGGUAAGGCUCAUCUACAUAUUACUUUCCCCAGACCCCACCUGGUGGGACUAUACUGGGUAGUUGUUGUUGUUAUGUAUACUUAUUCGGAAAAAAAAUAAGAAAUGUUAUUUUGUUGAGUUUCGACUUCUUGGUUGAAUUCAUGUGUUGGAAUGACAGUACUUUUAUUUUGCUAGUAUUUCGUUCACGCCCAAUUAAUGUGAAAUUUUUUCGUUUUUCAUGAGUCAAUUUGAAUAACGGAUAAAAAUAUAUGUUGUUUGAAUCUCAAAAGCGAAUAUUGGUAUGUUGGUAGCUGAGUAACUUAGUUCAAGAUUUCGUAAACAUGGUAACUUUUGAAGCAAGAGGAAGUAGCGAAUAGUAUUCUCUCAUCUUAUUCACAAAUACAAGUCUUUUUGUCGCUUAUUAUGCUUUAUACUCUGGUAAUCAAACACAAAAAACUGAUUUAUGUUAUAAAUAGAAUUCUAUUUAUGGGGAAUGAAAGAUUUUAGGAUUUAUUACUUGGUGGCUGAGUCAUCAUCUCCUUAUAAAUAGAGGGUACUAUUCCAUUGUAAUUCAUCCCAAAAUCAAUAAGAAUUCUCUCUCUUUACUUUUCUCUGUAAUACUCUUAUUCUUGUUUUAUUAUUUUAUAACACGUUAUCAGCAUAAGACUCUAACCAAUUGAGUAAAAAUUUUGAGAUUGAGCAUAAUGAUUGUCUAUUGUUCUAUGAACUUCCUUCAUGAUUAAAUUCUAGAUUUAAGGAAAGUAUUUUACUUGUCUCUUUCAAAUUCAUGACAUUUUAUAAUUUGAUUUUAAAUACAAGUAAAGACGAUAAAUUUUGAUUGCAACUCUAAUGGAGUUUGAAAGAAAUUAUAACCACCCAAAGUGGUAAAAUUUCUACGCCUUGCCAUGAUCAAAUUCAUGUAUGAUUGUGGGCAAAGAAUUGAAAACCCGUCCAGUUGAAUUUGCUACAUUCUCAUUCCCUUUAGAGAAUGUGGUAGCACUAUGUGAUAAAUCUGAAAUAGACAAAAUUACUAAUAUGAAUGUAUCAAUGGAUAUGGACGUGAUAAUAGACGAAAUUAUAAUCGUCAUUAUUAUGUAUUGAGAAUAAUAAGGAUUCUCAAAAUAAUCCUUCACUCUGUGAAAGUAAUAUUUGUCAUCGAUUUGAUAUGAGAUUUAUAAAGCACAUAUAGAUGAUUAUGGUCCAUUCAUGAUGUGAAUGUGACAGCAUCUAAUUUAUGAAUACAUAUUCAUUUUUGGAAGAAUAUGAAUGUGCUAUUGGUAGUGAAUAUAUCACACUCACCUCUAGAUGGAGGUUUGAGAUGAAAUAAGAAAAUAAUGUCAUUAUUAUGGCAUGAAUGAUCACUGGUCACGUACUUAUUGUACGCUAAAAUAUUACGGCAAUGUGAUUAUUAAAAGACAAUGGUAAUGCAAGAAACAGAUCUUGCAUAUAAUUUGACCAUGACUACAAUGGUAUAAAUUUUUCUUUAAAAGAGAUAUUAAUCACAUGGAUGUUGAUGAAUCUGUGGUAGUACAAAUUAAUUGAAGAGCUCUGGAAGAGACAAUUAUUACUAUUUUGGAGGAAUACAAUUGAUUAUGAUGUUAAUUUAUUGUGUUGUAGUAAAUCUCAAAGAAACUCAUUUAGUUUCCAAAGUACACGCGAAAGCAGUUGAUUAUAUUGAGAUUUUAAAUGAAGGAAAGAUUUAAUAUCUUCUAUUAUUACAACUUGUAGCGGAAUAAUAUGUAUGUGAAAAGCUACCUGCUUUAUUCUCCAGUUUAUACUACACAAAUAAAAGAACACCAUACUGAAGUGAAUGUUUAUUGAUAUAAAACCCAUAUCAUAAUAAACCUGGAGUUUAUUGAUAAUUGCACAUGUCAUGAUGUAAACCUGAACUUAUCAAUAUUAAUAAUUUAUUCAGUUGGCAUAAUCAGUUUAACCAUAUCAAUUUAAGCAUGGUGUGAAAAACUAAUAGAGAAUUCACAUGGGUAAAUAUUAAGGAACUAGAAAGCUCAUUACAAGUUCUCUUAUAUUGCUUAUGCUUAUUAAUUAAUUGACCAACUAAAAUUGAGAAUGAAUCCCCAGAAUUCUUGAAAUAUCAAAGAUGAAUAUGGGCUCAUUACCUGCCAUGUAUACCACAUAAGAUGCAUCUAUGAGAUGGUUAAAUGUGCAAUUAUUAUUAACUCGCAACAUUGUAUUUUGCGAGGUAACUUUCUCAAUAGUUUAAUUUCGAGCAUAAUUUUCAGAUUUUCUAUUCAAGAAGUUCAUCUUGAUAAGUUGGUUUACAUCAUAGCUGGUUUAGCAAAAUAGUUUAUUGAGUGCCUCCACUUAAUAGCUAAAUAAUUUUUUAUGAGAACAAAGUUAUAUAUAUCAAUUUGAUAUACGUUAUAUAUCAAAGUAUAUUAUUUUCUCCCCUCGCAAGUGGUUCAGGGUCAGGAACCAAAUAAUUUCAUCUUGUUAUUAUUGAUGCGCGGUAUAUAUUUUGAUUAACACCAUAAUGCACAAAGAUGAGUUCUCAAAGUUAAGGAAAUAGGUUAGUUUUUUUAUCAUGAGGGAGAGACAUGAUAAACAGUUGGGAAAAAGUUACGUGGAAUGAAUUAUCGUUUGUAAAACUAGAUUCUCGAAUAAAAUAAUAUGAACUUGAAGUUCAUAAAAGGAUAAUUCAUUUGCAAUAUAUAGCAAAGCAUUCCAGGCGCAUUUGUUGACCCAAAGAAAGUGACUAUACUCUCAUUGCAAAUGCUGAUAUUAAGUCCUAGAAGGACAAAGUCUAUGGUACGCUUAAAGCAUAUAGACAAAUCAGUUUCAAAUAAACUUCUUGAUAAGGAAGAUGAAUAAAUGAUCAUAAUAAAGGAGGUAAAUGAUCUAGAAGAUCACAUGACAUAAGACUUUAUAAAAUCUCAUGAGAGAUUCAGGUAUCUGAAUAUAUGAAUGAAGAGAUCUCUAUGUUAUGUCUUUAUGAAAAACGUUGGAACCGAUAUAAAAUGUUCGUCGAUGACAUUCAUCAUAGCUCUAAGUACAUAUGGGGAUCUUAAGGCUGUCGAGACAAAUACACAAAUAUUGGCCAAACUGACGAUACACAAUGUGAGAACAUGAUUUUUGUCCUACAUGAAUUACUCCAUUAGUUUCAAAACAAAAUAAAUUUCUUUUCAUUAUUUUCAAUUUUGUAAAAUUUCGUGGCAUCUGUUUGUUAAUUGUUGAAUUUGUUUGCGCAUAUUAUUUAUUUUUGGAAAAUACAAAAUAUAUGUUGCAUAUGCAUUUAAGACCUAAUUUUGUACUUUUUAGGAAUUAAUUAAUAAAUUAGUUAAAAAUUGGAAAAAUCGCAAAAAUGAUUAUGUGUGCAUUUCUAAUUUUAAUUUUUGAAUUUUGGUAGUUUUCCUUUAAAUUUGGUUUCAAUUAUUUGUGAUAAUUAUUAUUAGGAUUAAGGAGCAUUUUUGAUAGGCUAAUUUGGUUUAUAUCUUAAUUUGGGGUCUUAGUUUUAAUUUUGCAAAAAAAAAAAAGAAGAAAAGGAAAAGAACUAAUUUUGAAAAGGAAAGGAUUUUGAAAAUAAAAAGAGAUCAAAUUUGUAUAUUUGGGCAAAAACAAUUAAAAUUUCCAAGCAAAAACCCCUAAAUCCGUCCAAUUCGCCUUUACCCGACCCAUACCCUCUCCUGUAACCCGGUCCAGCCCUUUCAACACCGAAACGAUGUCGUUUUUUCAUUUCCAAUCCCGAGCUUUCAUUUAAUCUCAUCCAACGGCUGGGAAAGCCUCUCAAAAUUAGCUAAAAUUGUUCAAAUGUCUCAGAGACAACAUCGGACCCUUCGUCUCCUUCCCUACCGUUCACCAUCACCAGGCGCUGCAGGAAAUCGCCCUACGGCGGCGGCAAGCCUCUAAACCACCCCAAAUGUUUACCACAACUUCCUCUCCACCUUUACAUCAUCAAUCCAUAACCAGCUUUCCCUGAAAUCUAUCCAAAUAUCUCGAAUUUUAGUUUGAAAUCAUAGCCCUAGCGCCGCCACAAUUCCUCCAGUGGCAGCGCCACUUCUGUUUAACCCCAAACUAACACCAAAUACUCUCCCAAACUCCCUCUUUCCAAAUCCCUAAUGAUCUUACCUCGAAUCCUACCUGAAGCCCUCGAAUUUCAAAUCUAAAAUCAGGACACUCCAUGCAAGGUCCUCUCUACAAAUCACCCGCUCGUUCCCAACCUGGUUUGUAUCGAAAUGGUGUUCCUCGUCUGAUUCUCAACGGAGAACAAACAAUCCACGUCGAUUUGAGACCAAAUCAGAGUUGCCUGUGAUUUUUAGGCUCAAUUGGUAAGUUUUUCUUGCUUCACUGUUAUCCACUGAUUUGCUUCGUCUCUCUCUAACUCUCCGGCCCAUUACCCUUCACCUCGUUUGAUUUAGGUAUGUGAACAACUCUCCUCACAACUUCUGUGUUAGUUUUAGAUCUUCAGUCAUUUUGCAUUGAGUUGUCUUGGUUCCUUUUCUUUUCUUUUUCUCUCUUGUUAGUUGAAUUUGGUGAGUUUCUUGAUCCAAUGUGUUUUAUUAUGAUUAGCGAGCUUAAAUCAUUAACAGAUUAAUUGCUUAGACAAAUAAAGUCAGGCUAUAGAUAAUUCGUUAUCAGUAUAGGCUAAGUCUCUAAUUUCACCUCUUGUUGCUGUUAAAAUAUGUUCUGGGAUAUCGUUUUCUUGGGAAGCUUUGUUUAGCUUCAAUCUAGGCCCACAAAUGUGGCAACAAGCCCAAUAGAGGCCCAAUUUGGGGGAUUUAUAUCCCAAUUAGCUCAGCUGACCCAUUUUGGUAGGCUUCAUAGGUAAAAACAUGUUGGUUAAGGAGGUAAACUAGGCAAUGUACUUAGGGAAUCUUGCAGUAACCACUUUAGAAACCCCUAGAAGCUUCUAGCAGGGGUAUAUUGUUAAAUUUUCAUUCUAUGCCUUAGUUAACAAGUCAUAAAAUCAGGGACUAUAGGACAAAAAUAAAAUUUGAAGGUUACCCUAAUGUUUAGCUUAUAAAAAGGCAGGUAAACACUUAAGCUAAGGGGUUCUUUUGGGGGGGGGGGGGGGAAAAAAAAAAAAGGGAAAAAAUAAAAAAAAAANNNNNNNNNNNNNNNNNNNNNNNNNNNNNNNNNNNNNNNNNNNNNNNNNNNNNNNNNNNNNNNNNNNNNNNNNNNNNNNNNNNNNNNNNNNNNNNNNNNNNNNNNNNNNNNNNNNNNNNNNNNNNNNNNNNNNNNNNNNNNNNNNNNNNNNNNNNNNNNNNNNNNNNNNNNNNNNNNNNNNNNNNNNNNNNNNNNNNNNNNNNNNNNNNNNNNNNNNNNNNNNNNNNNNNNNNNNNNNNNNNNNNNNNNNNNNNNNNNNNNNNNNNNNNNNNNNNNNNNNNNNNNNNNNNNNNNNNNNNNNNNNNNNNNNNNNNNNNNNNNNNGGGUUUUUUUGGGGGGGGGGGGGUGAACAAAAAAGAAGGGCUAAAAUCAGAAAAAAAAGCAAACGGUUGAAAGUUUAGGAAAAUAUUAGUUCAAACAAAAUGUUGAGUCCCUUUUGAGUGAAAAUAGUUUGAUUGUGUGUUGGAGAUGCUUUGGUUCAGUUUUCAGUGUUCUGUUGAAAUUCUUUUUGGAUUUCUGAAAUUUUGCCAAGUUCUGAAGCUUUUUCUGGUUCACUUGAGGUUGAAAAUGAGUUGAUUUGGGUUUAGAAACUAGUUAAAGUUGGGUUCUAGGGUUUGCUGUGUGCCAACCUGUGUUGAGUUUGUUAUUUGUUGCUGAUUAUUACUCCAAUCUACUACUAUGCUACUAAGCUGCUGCUAACUGACCCUGCUUGGCUUUGGUUCCAUCUCAUUUCAGGUACGGACUAUAAAUCUAUUGAUUGUUAAGUGUUGAAUUUGAAGAAUAAAAGAUGAGAAAGAAGGAUUUGACAGUCCCACCUCAACUGUUCUUUAUUUCAUUCUGUUUCAUUUUUUAUUUCUAUUUAAUCAUGUUAUAUUGUUUAGAUAAUCUGUAUGUUAAGUAGAUAGUUUCACUUAUAAUUGAAUCAAAGUUGUUGUAAGGCUGAAUAAACACUGUUGUAUCCAUACAUGUGAAAAUAGUCUGAUAAUUGUAAUUGGUCUUGUUGAAAUUAGUAUUGAGUCAUUCUGUGGUUUGGUAAUGGUUUAGUCGUAUUCAAUUUCUCAUGUGUUCACCUAUUAGUUUAGCUGAAUGCGUUAUUGGGUUUUUGAGCAUUAUAGUUGUGGUUAAAAGGAAAAAGGGUUCACAGUAUUGAUACAUACUGUAUAUUUCUCAAAUCAUUGUUGGAUUUCAAUCAAUUUCCUCAUGUGUUCCAUAGUUAGUCGUUAAGUGUAGUAAUUCACUAUCAUUGUUGUGUUUCAUUUUGUUCUUGGGUACGAAUUUGUUUAAGUGUAAUGUUUCUGGGAUGUUGGGAUUUUGACAUGAAUCAUCUGAUUGAGCAAUGACCUUAAGGGUCAAGUAAUGUAUAGAAGAAUUAUGUUGUAGUCAUGAGCAU